AUGGAGUCGUGCCAGUUAGCGCGGGAGAGCUCUAGUAGCGGUAGGGUGGAGGCGGAGGAGGAGGCCUUCUUCGACACGCGCCAGGACCUGCUGCCGUCGCCGGCGCCCAGCCCGGCACCGGCAUUGCCGUGGUCGUCCGGCGGCCUCGAUGGCCUCGACAGCGUGCGGGACAGGAAGGAGCGCUUCUUCAGAAGCAUGGGCCUCGAGUGCGGCCCGAGCCCCAGGCAGGCGGUGGAUCCCGCUUGCGCCGCCGGCGAGGUGGAGAAGCAGCAGGAGGAGGCUGUGCCGGAGACCGGGAGGCUGUCGUCGCACUCGGAGGACAACGACUGCUCCAUGUCCAGUUGGUCCACGGAGGAGACCACGAGCUAUGACGAGGGCGGCGCGUCCGACGACAAUUCCGUCGGUGGAUCCAGCAAGGACGAUGGCAGCAGCAAGGUCAGCCGGAGCUCCAGUUCGUUCUCGUUUAUCAGAAGGCUUAUGAGCCGAAAUGGCAAGCCUUCCGGCGCUCCGAGGACAGUUGAGAGGAGGAGAAGCGGAUGGCUGGAGAGGCUGGGCGUGGCCGUUUGUGCGGUGGAUAAUGCGGCGGAUGAGCCUAGCACCAGCUCCUCUGACAGCGAGCAGAUUCAUGGUGGAAGGUAUGAGAGGGUCAAGGUCCGAUCGUACCGGAAGCGGUCCAAGGAAUUGUCUGCCCUGUACCAAGGCCAAGUGAUCAAGGGACAUGAUGGUGCCAUCCUGACGAUGAAAUUCAGUCCUGAUGGGCAGUUCCUAGCAAGCGGCGGCGAAGACGGAGUUGUCCGGGUUUGGGGUGUUUUGCAGUCUGAUGACUGCAAAAUUCCUCUGGAUGACCCCUCUUGCGUCUACCUCAAGGCGCGGCGCAAGAACGGGUUGGCGCCGGUGAGUGUCGACAGCGAGAAGCUGCGCAAAUCCAAGAGUAUGGGCAUGAAGAAGACUGGAGACUCUGCCUGCAUUGUGAUUCCAACAAUGGUUUUCCAAAUUUCAGAGGAACCAUUGCAUGAGUUCUAUGGGCAUUCUGCUGAUGUAUUGGAUCUGUCCUGGUCAAACAAGCAUCUAUUAUCGGCUUCAACAGACAAAACUGUCCGCCUGUGGGAAAUUGGAUCUGCAAACUGCAUCAGAGUUUUCCCGCAUAGCAACUUUGUGACUUGUGUCCAAUUUAAUCCGACAGACGACAAUUGCUUCAUCACUGGAUCCAUUGACGGCAAAGUUCGUGUAUGGAACAUAACUAGAUGCAGCGUUGUCGACUGGGCAGAUGUUAGAGACAUAGUUACAGCGGUCUGUUACCGACCUGAUGGAAAGGGUGUAGUGGUUGGAACGAUUACUGGAAAUUGUCGCUUUUACGACGCAUCGGACGGCCUGCUGCGGUUGGAAAAUCAGAUUGCACUCAGCGGCAAGAAAUCCUCUUUGAAGAGAAUCACAAGUUUUCAGUUCUGUCCAAACAACCCAAGUAAACUAAUGGUAACAUCUGCCGACUCCAAGAUCAGGAUGUUGGAUGGAACCAAUGUGAUUCAGAAUUACAGUGGACUCCGAAGUGGUUCAUGCCAGAUGUCAGCAUCCUUCACACCAGACGGGGAGCACAUAGUUUCUGCCAGUGAAGACUCCAACAUUUAUGUCUGGAACCGUGACAACCAAGAUGAUUCUGUGUGGCGACAAGCGAAAACCACAUAUUCCUCUGAGCGCUUCCUAUCCAACAACGCAGCCAUCGCGAUACCAUGGCACGGCACAAAACCAAGGAGCCAUGUUUCCUUGGCCUCUCAUAUCCAAUUCAAGUACAGUUCCAGCAAAAGUUUUCCUUCAAGACCCUCUGCUCCUGGCAUUUUCAACCUCAACCAGGAGUUGUUCGCCGAGCCGUCGUGCAAAGGCGCCUCGGCAACUUGGCCGGAGGAAAUGCUGCCGUCCGGCUCGAUCGGCGCAAGCCUGGACGAGACGCAGCACAAGCUUCUGAGGAACUGCUCCCAGAGCACGGCGAACUCCUGGGGCCGGGUGAUCGUCACCGCGGGAUGGGACGGCCGGAUCAGGUCGUUCCAGAAUUACGGCCUGCCGGUGCAACGGUGA
rnacentral:rRNA from 1 species